UUCCUGCUCCUCUCCAUCUAUGAGCAGAGUUCCCCGUUUGUACCCGGCUUCCUUGUUUCAGGUAAGUUGGCCUUUGCGUCUUGCGAGACGACUGAUGUCCCAGGCAACGACUGGUACCGGGACUUUUUUAAUGGUAAGGAUUUUAUUUUUUGUUUCUUUAUGACAGGCCACAGUUGGAGUGGUUGUCCUGUCACUGUUAUGAAAACAUGCAUAACAUAUUAGGUUGAGUUAGGUUAGAGUUAAAAAUUAGAGAUAACCUUUUUAAUCCCAGCAAGUGAGGACAGGAGGAGACAUCAACAGAGGACAGAGACUAAAGAAGACUUCUUUAUCAACCACAACAAUGUAAGUAAAAAUACUGAACACACCUUUACUGUAAAAAUAAACUUGACUUUGUAAUAAUGCUUGUAAAAUGUUAAACAGGAGCACCAGCAUCCACAGCUGCUUGAGGAGGAAACAUCAGCAGAAAGCAAAACAAUUAAUCAUCCACUGAUGGAGGAGGAGGAUGAUGAAGAUGGAGGACAGGAGCACCAGUAUCCACAGCAUCCUGAGGAAACAUCAACAGGGGACAGAAAGACUUCUAUUCACCAAAACAAUACAGGAGUGCCAGCAUCCACUGAUGGAGGAGGAGGAUGAAGAAGAUGGAGGACAUUAGCACCAGCUAUCCACAGCUGCCUGAGGAGGAAACAUCAACAGAAAGCAAAACAAUCAAAACAAUUAAUGUAAGUAAAGCCUCUCAUUGGCACAGAAAGACACUGAACUAAUGUUUAAUGUAAAAAUAGAGGUGACUUUAUACUAAUGCCUGUAAAAUGUUGGACUGGAACAACGGCAUCUACUGAUGGAGGAGGAGGAUGAAGAUGGAGGACAGGAGCAUCAGUAUCCACAGCAUCCUGAGGAAACAUCAACAGAGGACAGAGACUUCUAUUCACCAAAACAAUACAGGAGCACCAGCAUCCACAGCAUCCUGAGGAGGAAACAUUACCAGAGGACAGAAAGACUUCUAUUCACCAAAACAAUCAAUGUAAGUAAAGCCUCUCAUUUACACAGAAAGAAUCUGAAUACGUGUUUAAUGUAAAAAUAAAGAUGAUUUUGAUACUAAUGACUGUCA
rnacentral:lncRNA from 1 species